AUUAAAGUGGCAGAAAGUUUAAUGCAAGGAAUUUA
rnacentral:tRNA from 1 species